rnacentral:lncRNA from 1 species
GUUGCCUGAUUUAGGGACUUGGUAUGGGGUCUAGGGCAGCAUCCAUCGCAUGCACGGGCUCGAGCUCAAUUCCUUUUUUCGCAUGCAUGCCAACCGAUCGAGGCCAUGGGCGCUUACCGGUCACCGGAGCAACCAGUCAUCGGAUAAAAUGGUCGAAAGGCAUGCACACCCUGUAUUUCGCUCGAGGGACGUUACCCUGGGUGUACGCAAUAGGAGGCCCAUCACGCACACCUACUCCCCCCGUGGGGGGAGAAGGGGUGCAGGACCACCACCCCCUAAAGAGCAUUAGAGAUUUUACAGAUAUGCUACCAGUAGAUGUUAAAGUGUCUGAAACGAGGACACUUUUUCCAUACAGGGAUAUCCCGCACCGAGGGGUGAGCAAAUGUCGAUGGUGGUUGGGGCAUGUGCCUGCACCAAGGGCCAAUGCGUGUCGAUGGUGGUCGAUGCGACUGCCUUCACCAAGGGCCAGCAUGUGCCAAUGGUAGUCGGGGCAACCGCCCACACCAUAUCAAGGCAUGUGCCCACACCAAGGCCAGGCAUGUGCCUAUGGUGUUCGAGGCAACCGCCUACACCAGGGGCCAUCUUCUACCGAUGGUGGUCGAGGCAAGAGCCCAUACCAAGGGUCGGCUUGUGCCGAUGGUGCUCGAGGCAACCGCCCGCACCAAGGGCCAGCUUCUAUCGAUGGUGGUCGAGGUAACUGCCCGUACCAAGGCCCAGCAUGUGCCGAUGGUGUUCGAGGCAACCACUCGUACCAGGGACCAACAUGUGCCGAUGGUGUUCAAGGUAACCGCCUGCACCAGGGGCCAUCUUCUGUCGAUGGUGGUCGAGGCAAGAGCCCACACCAAGGGCCAACUUGUGUCGGUGGUGCUGGAGGUAACCGCCCGUACGAAGGCUUAGCACGUGUCGAUGGUGUUCGAGGCAAUCGCCGUAUCGAGGCCCAGCAUGUGCCGAUGGUGGUCGAGGCAACCGCCCACACCAAGGCCUAGAAUGUGUCGAUGGUAUUCGAUGCAACUGCCUACAUCAGGGGCCAUCUUGGGUCGAUGGUGGUCGAGGCUACCGCCCGCACCAAGGAUGGGCUUGUGUCAAUGGUGGUCGAGGCAACCGCCCUUACCAGGGACCAUUUUCACCGAUGGUGGUCGAGGUAACCGCUUGCACCAAGGCCUAGCAUGUGCUGAUGGUGUUCGAGGUAACCGCCUGCACUAAGGCCCGGCAUGUGCCGAUGGUGUUCGACGUAACUACCCGUACCAGGGGCCAUCUUGUGCCGAUGGUGGUCGAGGCAAACGCCCACACCAAGGGUCAUCUUGUGUCGAUGGUGGUCAAGGCAACCGCCUGUACUAAGGGUCAGCUUGUGCAGAUGGUGGUCGAGGCAACAGUUCGCACCAGAGGCCAUUUUCUACCAAUGAUGGUUGAGGCAAGAGCCCGCACCAAGGGUCAGCUUAUGCCGAUUGUGGUUGAGGCAACCGCCCGCACCAGGACCCAUCUUCUGCCGAUGGUGGUUGAGGCAACCGCCUGCACCAAGGCCCAGCAAGUGUCGAUGGUGUUUGACGCAAGCACCCGGACCAGGGGCCAUCUUGUACCGAUAGUGGUCGAGGCAACCACCCGCACCAAGGGCCAGCUAGUGCCGAUGGUGCUCGAGGUAACCGCCCACACUAAGGCUCGACACGUGCCGAUGGUGUUUAAGGCAACUGCCUGCACCAAGGGCCAUCUUCUACCGAUGGUGGUCGAGGCAACCACUCACACCAAGGCCCAGCAUGUGCCAAUGGUGUUCGACGCAACCGCUCACACCAGGGGCCAUCUUGUACUGAUAGUGGUCGAGGCAACCACCCUCACCAAUGGUCGGUUGAUGUUGAUGGUGUUCAAGGCAACUGCCCACACCAAGGCUCGGCAUGUGUCGAUGGUGGUCGACGCAACUGGCCGCACCAUGGCCCAACAUGUGCCGAUGGUGUUCGAUGCAACCACCCGCACCAGAGGCCAUCUUGUGCCGAUGGUGGUUGAGGCAAUCGCCCUCACCAAUGGUCAGCUUGUACCGAUGGUGGUCGAGCCAAUCGCCCGCACCAAGGGUCGGCAUGUGUCGAUGGUGAUCGGGGUAACCGACCACACCAGGGCCUAGCUUGUACCGAUGGCGGUCGAGGCAAGUGCCCGUACCAAAGGACAGCCUGUGCCGAUGAUGGUCGAUGCAUGUGCCAUCACCAUGAGCCACCAUAUGCCAUUGAUGGUCGAGGCCUUGGUCGAAAUUCGAUUUUGAGCCACGGUGCACAUGUUGGGCUCGGGAUGUACUGGUGCCGAAGAUUGGGGGGUCGGGGGGUGUGCGCACAUAAUGUGCGAUGGGUGCUGGUACUUGGCCCUUAUAUUGGCCCCUAUCCCUCACCAAACCUCAGAACUCAUACCUUCUUAAAGAGCAUUUGAGAUUUUAUAGGUUUGCUGCCAGUAGCCAUUAAAGUGUCUAAAAUGGGAACACUUUUUUCAAACGGUCACAAAAUCUUCUCCACUUCGAGUUUUUAGCUGAAUUUUUUUUUGCAUGCCAAAAAAAAUACAAAGAUCACCUCUACCAAAUUUGGGGACAAAAAUCUUUCUAAAAAAAUUUUAAAAAAUCCUAAAUUGCAAAAUGUUUCAAAAAUCGUAAAAAAUAGAAAAUGGGUCGUCUUGCCAUGAAACUUCACAUGAAGGCUUAGGGGACCAUUGUAUGAAUUUACUAGCCAUAAAAAUGGCAUUGGCAUGGCAGAAAUAUGAGGAUGUGCUUGAACCCACCUACCACCCGUUCGAUCCCCGGCUUGUGCAUCCUGCCUCUCUGGCUGGCUGAGCGCCCGCACGCUCGUUUCGUGGGUUGACUUAGGCAUAUGGAGUUCAUCCCCAGUCUAAGCAGACAAAGUUUAUUCCCAGUCUAAGAUCAGAUCGAACUGAGGGUUACGGCAGCAGGAUCGGUAACACGUAGGGGGGAUCGGGCCGAUCCCCGGCUUGCGUAUUCUGCCUCUCCGACCGGCUGAGUGUCCGUACGCCCGUUUCAUGGGUUGGCUUAGGCAUAGGAAGUUCAUUUCAUGUCUAAGCCCCAGCCGAACCGAGGGUUAUGGCAGCGAGACCGGCAGCACGCAGAGGGGGACCGGGCUGAUCUCCGGCUUGCGCAUUAUGCCUCUUCGACCAGCUCAGCGCCCGCACGCUCGUUUCGUGGGUUGACUUAGGCAUACAGAGUUCAUUCCCAGUCUAAGAUCAGACCAGACUGAGGGUUGCGAUAGUAGGAUUGACAGCACGUAGGGGGGGAUGGGUCGAUCCCCGACUUGCACAUUCUGCCUCUCCGAUCGGCUGAGCGCCUGCACGUUCGUUUCGUGGGUUGGCUUAGGCAUACAGAGUUCAUUCCAUGUCUAAGCAUACAGAGUUCAUUCCCAGUCUAAGAUCGGAUCGGACUGAGGGUUACGAUAGCAAGACCAGUAGCAGGAUCGACAGCACACAGGGGGGAACCGAGCCAAUCCUCGACUUGCGCAUUUUGCCUCUCCGGCCGGCUGAGCUCCUGCACGCUCGUUUCGUGGGUUGGCUUAGGCAUAUGGAGUUCAUUCCAUGUCUAAGCCCCAGUCGGACCGAGGGUUGUGGCAGCAGGAUUGGUAGCGGGAUCGGCAACACGCAGAGGGGGAUCGGGCUGAUCGUCAACUUGAAAUUAUGCCUCUCCGGUCGGCCUGUCUAGUCGGUUCAGCACCCGCAUGCUCUUUUCGUGGGUUGACUUAGACAUACAGAGUUCAUUCCCAGUCUAAGCAUAUGGAGUUCAUUUCCAGUCUAAGAUCAGACCGACAGCGGGAUCGACAGCAGCACGCAGAGGGGGAUCAGGUCGAUCCUCGGCUUGCGCAUCCUGGCUCUCCGAUCGGUUGAGCACCCGCACACUCAUUUUGUGGGUUGACUUAGGCAUACGGAGUUCAUUCCCGAUCUGAGCCCCAACCGAAUCGAGGGACCCACAGCGGGAUCAGCAGUAUACAAAAAGGGAUCGGACCGAUCCUCGACUUACGCAUUCUGGCUCUCCGGCCUGCUGAACAGUCGCAUGCUCGUUCCAUGGGUUGACUUAGGCAUACAUAGUGCAUUCUCGAUCAUGACCAACCAAGGGCCAGAGGUUAUCGACGGCGUUUGGGGCAACAAUCGAAGGGGACCAGCAGUGGGAUCCUCGGUCGGCUCGUACAUCCCACCCCCAACGGUCGGUUCAGUGCCCGCACGUUGUUUCAGGGCCGAUCGGGGUGACGGAGUUCGUUCUCGAUUGAGAUCGGGGGACGGGGGGCCCCGAGUCACGCCCAACCCUAGAGGAGGACGGCAUGAAAAGAAGAAAAGUCAAUGGGGGGAGGGAUGAAUCGAAGCGCCAAAGGGCUGAAUCUCAGUAGAUCGUGGCAGCAAGGCCACUCUGUCACUUACAAUACCCCGUCGCAUAUUUAAGUCGUCUGCAAAGGAUUCUACCCAUCGCUCGAUGGGAAUUGAGCUUCGAAGAGGCCCAUGCGACUCGUUCACCGCGGGCACUGCACCUAUGACAUGUGCCCUUAGGGGCCAUGGGCCUCUACUGCAGUUCAACAAUCGGGCGGUGGGCACGUGUGUCACUUCUAACCGAGAUUCUGACUUAAAGGCGUUCAUUCAUAAUCUAGCGCACGGUAGCUUCACGCCAUUGGCUUUUCAACCAAGCACGAUGACCAAUUGUGUGAAUCAACGGUUCCUCUCGUACUAGGUUAAAUUACUAUCACGAUGCCGCCAUCAGUAGGGUAAAACUAACAUGUCUCACGAUGAUCUAAACCCAGCUCAUGUUCCUUAUUGGUGGGUGAACAAUCCAACACUUGGUGAAUUCGGCUUCACAAUGAUAGGAAGAGCCGACAUCGAAGGAUCAAAAAGCAACGUCACUAUGAAUGCUUGGCUGCCACAAGCCAGUUAUCCCUGUGGUAACUUUUCUGACACCUCUAGCUUUAAUUCCUGAAGGUCUAAAAGAUUGAUAGGCCACGCUUUCACGGUUCAUAUUCAUACUGGAAAUCAGAAUCAAAUGUCCU